rnacentral:rRNA from 1 species
CCUACGGGAGGCAGCAGUGGGGGAUAUUGCACAAUGGGGGAAACCCUGAUGCAGCGACGCCGCGUGAGUGAAGAAGUAUUUCGGUAUGUAAAGCUCUAUCAGCAGGGAAGAAGAUGACGGUACCUGCAGAAGCAGCCCCGGCUAACUACGUGCCAGCAGCCGCGGUAAU